CGAACGGAAAGGCCCUGCUUGCAGGGUACUCGAGUGGCGAACGGGUGAGUAACACGUGGGUGAUCUGCCCUGCACUUCGGGAUAAGCCUGGGAAACUGGGUCUAAUACCGGAUAGGAGCCAUUUUUAGUGUGAUGGUUGGAAAGUUUUUUCGGUGUAGGAUGAGCUCGCGGCCUAUCAGCUUGUUGGUGGGGUAAUGGCCUACCAAGGCGGCGACGGGUAGCCGGCCUGAGAGGGUGGACGGCCACAUUGGGACUGAGAUACGGCCCAGACUCCUACGGGAGGCAGCAGUGGGGAAUAUUGCACAAUGGGCGCAAGCCUGAUGCAGCGACGCCGCGUGGGGGAUGACGGCCUUCGGGUUGUAAACUCCUUUCGCUAGGGACGAAGCUUUUUGUGACGGUACCUAGAUAAGAAGCACCGGCUAACUACGUGCCAGCAGCCGCGGUAAUACGUAGGGUGCGAGCGUUGUCCGGAAUUACUGGGCGUAAAGGGCUCGUAGGUGGUUUGUCGCGUCGUCUGUGAAAUUCCGGGGCUUAACUCCGGGCGUGCAGGCGAUACGGGCAUAACUUGAGUACUGUAGGGGUAACUGGAAUUCCUGGUGUAGCGGUGAAAUGCGCAGAUAUUAGGAGGAACACCGAUGGCGAAGGCAGGUUACUGGGCAGUUACUGACGCUGAGGAGCGAAAG
rnacentral:rRNA from 1 species